rnacentral:rRNA from 2 species
UAAAAAGCUCGUAGUUGGAUCUGUGUAUCGGACGGUCGGUUCGCCGCUCGCGGUGUUUGACUGACCGGUUCGGACGUCAUGCCGGUGGGACCUCGGUGCAAGCCGGGGUUCCGUAACUUACCCUCCGCGCUGCUCUUAACCGAGUGGUUCGGUGGGCCGGCACGUUUACUUUGAACAAAUUUGAGUGCUCAAAGCAGGCCUUAUGUUGCCUGGAAACUGUGUGCAUGGAAUAAUGAAAGAGGACCUUGGUUCUAUUUUGUUGGCUUUCUGAACUUGAGGUAAUGAUUAACAGGGACAGACGGGGGCAUUCGUAUUGCGACGUUAGAGGUGAAAUUCUUGGAUCGUCGCAAGACGGACCGAUGCGAAAGCGUUUGCCAAGAAUGUUUUCGCUAAUCAAGAACGAAAGUUAGAGGUUCGAAGGCGAUUAGAUACCGCCCUAGUUCUAACCAUAAACGAUGUCAGCCAGCGAUGCGCCGAUGUUCCUCCGAUGACACGGCGCGCAACUUCCGGGAAACCAAAGCUUUUGGGUUCCGGGG